AAUAGGAGGACAGACGUUUUAGAUUUACUCUUUGCUUUCUCCUCAGCAAGCCAAGCCGAUGGAACGCGAAUUACAUAGCAGGCAAAUAGAUACAAGGAAAGCGUAGAAUCAGCUAACCAAACCUAUAGGACAUUAGCUACAUAGCGUACAUAUAGAGAGAUACAAGAAAAAGCGAUCUAUAUUAAUUCCCCGAUUUCUACUCAAACAUUAAAUCAGUCAGCCAAACCUAUAUAACGUAAACAACAUCAGACCGACACCAACAUGGGAGUUAAGAUUUUAUUUGACUGAGAAUAAAGGAUUGGGUAUGCAAGGGAGUGGAUGCGAGUGGAAGCAGGAAAUAUGAGGGGAAAAAAGAGUGGAAUGGGUCUGGUUGAAGUAUGGAGGACAGAGAAGGAAGGAAAAAAAGACUGAUAGAUAUACAUAAGAGAGACAUUUUAUAUUCAUUUAUCAGGUUCUUCCUCCGACCCUUGAAUCAGCCAGGCAGCCAAACCUAUAGGACGUAAACUACUUCAAAGUCACUCGAUAUAUCUUAAUACAGUUUACGAGAAGCCAUUAUCGAUAAACCCCGUUCGCUCCCUCUUUUUCAUAUGCAAAGAGUCAAGGAACGUUAGCCAAACACAUACAUAUAUACAUACAUACAAACAUACAGACCGACACCAACAUGGGAGUUAAGGAUUUAUUAGACUGAGAAUAAAGGAUUGGGUAUACAAGGGAGUAGGUGCGAGUGGGAGGAAGAGAUAUUAGGGAGAAAGAGUGGAAGGAGUCUGGUUGAAGUAUUGAGGUCAUUGAGGUCAGAGAAAGAAUUAGA